rnacentral:rRNA from 1 species
GACGAACGCUGGCGGCGUGCCUAAUACAUGCAAGUAGGACGCAGUUGCGAACGGGUGAGUAACGCGUAGGUAACUACCUAUUAGAGGGGGAUAACUAUUGGAACCGAUAGCUAAUACCGCAUACUAGUAGAUGGACCUACGUUGUAUUAGCUAGUAGGUAGGGUAAUGGCCUACCUAGGCAAAGAUACAUAGCCGACCUGAGAGGGUGAUCGGCCACACAGGGACUGAGACAAGGCCACGACUACUACGGGGAGCAGCAGUAGGGAAUCUUCGGCAAGUGGGGGAACCCUAGCCGAGCAACGCCGAGGGAGUGAAGAAGGUUUUCGGAUCGUAAAGCUCUGUUGUUAAGGAAGCGGUACUUAACCAGAAAGGGACGGCUAACUACGUGCCAGCAGCCGCGGUAAUAC